ensembl:misc_RNA 7SK 7SK RNA
GGAUGUGAGGCUGAUCUGGCUUCAACAUCUUUCACCCCAUUGAUCAUCGGGGUUGAUUUGGCGGAUCUAACUGUCUUGGAGGGAAUCCUCUUCCUCCCUCACCACUCCAUGUGUGUCCCUCCCCGAGCUGCACGCUUGGCCAGAGAGGACAACCUGCCCUGAAAGAGGAGAACUGUUCUUCAGCCAGGGGUAUACAGGUAGCCGUGCUCCCCUGCUAAACCUCCAAACAAGUUCUCAAGGUCCCACUCAGGGUUUUGGGUCCUCUCCAUAGGAGAGCCAUGUGCCAACUGCAGCUAGUCAGCCACCUUG